rnacentral:lncRNA from 1 species
AUGUGUUGAAUGUACUGACUAGCUAAUUGAAUGUGGAGCGGGAUUGAGAGUUUUCUGUUGUCUCUUUCUUGGAUUAAAGGACAGAGCUUUUGGGCUUGUUUUAUCAUUUUAUGUUAUUUUUUUAGUCUAUCUAAAUUGGAUUAAGAAGGACCUUCUGGGGGAGGUUUUAUGUAAUCAUAUUUCUCAAAUUUGGGUAAAUGAAAGUUGU